GGUUUUGAUAAAUCUCAUCCUAUGAGUCCAUCCAGGUCACGUGACCCACAGCCAGGAGAAAAGGCGCCAAGCGCUCACUUCUCCCGUCUCCUUCUUCUAAUCACUCAGAACCCCGACCGAGAUAAACUUACACCUCUACGCCAUAUCAAAAACUUUCUAACAACGGCGUGCACACUUUAAAAGUUUUGUUUAAUGCUGAACUACACAAAAAAGAAAGAAACUUUUUUUGUAAAAAAUCCCUGCAGUUUGACUGCCAUGUACUCCUGAUAGUAGACGUAUUCCGUUCAUCACUCAGUGUGACGUCUUAACAGAAUCAGUCGAUGAUUACUGGAAAUGGCGAAGGAACGCGGCGCAUUAGCGUGGAGGAAAAGAUGCUACAAUUACCAGUCCUUGUAUUUUCUUUCUACCGUUCAGCAUUCAAACAGCAGGAAGAAGAGAAGAAAACAUGAAGAAGGCGCGAUACCACAUCAGCCCCAUAAUCACUUCAUCUAAACAUGGGACGCAACGCUUCUAACACUGCAGCAUAAUACCAGCCGAUAACAUCGCUCACACUUAUGUAAAUGUGUCUGAAGAGUCUCCAAACUGAAGAUAUGUGAGAUAAAGCGGUGAUGGUGCGGGGAGAUAUUAUUCUGGCCUUCCUGCCAGUCCUCACACUGAAGAACAGGCCACCUCUUCCUAGAUAGAAAGGAUUGAUAGCAUACUAAAUACUGAGUAAAAUACUGAGAUAAACUUAACAGCGAA